rnacentral:rRNA from 1 species
CUAGAGGUGUCAGAAAAGUUACCUCAGGGAUAACUGGCCUGCGGCAGCCGAGCGCCCCCAGCGACGUUGCCUUCUUGGUACAUCGAUGACGGCUCUUCCUAUCAUUGCCUCGCAAGAGGGGCAAAGUGUCGGAUUGUUCACCCGCGAAUAGGGAACGUGAGCUGGAAAAAGACCGUCGUGAGACAGGUUGUUUUUACCCUACUGAUGAAGUGAUAUUGCGACAGUACUAACAGGUAAUACGAGAGCAACCCUGAGAGCAGACCACUGGUAAAUACAGUUAGCUGACAAGCUAGUGCUGUGAAGCUACGUCUGACGUGGAUAAUGGCUGAACGCCUCUAAGCCAGAAUCCAAGCUGGAUAAGCAAUGUCUAUAUCAAUAAUAAAUGAAAAAGAAUAGGUGUGCUGGUAGCCUCCAUAGUUCGAUUAAUUGGGAGCUUAACUCAAGCUAACCGAUACGGAAAAGAUCGGGUAGUGAAACUCUCAGAAUCACAAUUUCAAAUUAUUAUUGACUUAAACCUUCUGUAGACGACUUAACUAGGGACGGGGGACUGUACGUGGCGAUUAAAGAGUCACUGAGGUUCAUCCCUU